UCUAAAACUGUAAGCCAGCCCCAAUUAGACGUUGUCCUUUAAAAAAGUUGCUGUGGUCAUGGCUCACAGCAGUGAAGCCCUAACUAAGGCAACUUGCAUAAAACACAAAUGGUUAAUGGUUACCACCUGAGCCAAACUCUCAGUUUUUACAGCUUUCUUGUACUAGUAACUCAAAUUCUAAGCCUUUUAUCACUUAAAAACUAAAGCUACUCACAGGGGGGGGUGGGGGGGGGGCGGCUCGAACCUAUGAACCCAGCGCUUGGGAGGUAGAAGCCGAAAGAUUAGGAGUCAAAGGGCAGCUACAGUCACAUAGUGAGUUUGAGGUCAGAGUGGAUUAACAUGAGACCCUGUCCAAAAAAGCAAACAAUCCAAAAUUCAAAAUAAAAGUUAACUCUUUUUAAGCAAUGAGUCUUACACUAAGCGGUGUCACAAACACCUGUCUGGCAUGUGGCUAGGCCUCCGUCGUUCAUCAAACAAGCUGAGCAGAGUCGCAAAGCUGGCACAGUUUGGGAGUCACGCAGUAGGAGCACAGGGAAAGCACGGGCUGCGCACAGUAGGUUCAGGGCUGCUAUAAGAAAAUACUGUAGACGUGGUAAUGUACACACAAAAGAGACUCGCUUCUUACAGCUCCAUGAACUAGCAAGUCUGACGCUGAGGGCGUCAACCUCUGGCACCAUCACAUGGCGUACGGGAAAGUAAAGAUUUCUUCAAAGGUAGAGCGAACUAAAAUCUUUUAUAAAAGGGGCUAAUCCCUUCCAGAGAACGGACCCUCGAGAUCUAAAACUUCUUCAGGUGCUGCUGCACUGGAGAUAGGUUUCCAGUGCACGGUCUGGCCCUGCAUUCACACUCAAGCCAUAGCACCAGGCAGGCCACGACAUGUCUGCUACAGCUAAGAGCGGGAAGUAAAGCUACCUUGAGAGCUGGUAGAGUUGAUGGCCACUUACGAGUCACAUCACGGAAGGCUAAUUGGUGAGAAGUACACUGAAUAUUUGCCAAACUGGUAUGCACCCCUUGAUCUAAGAAAACCGCCUUGGUUUGAGAACAGUGGGAUUCUUGAUGGCUUCUCUUCUCAGGGAGUUCGUGUUCUUUUAAAUACAAUCUCAUUAGAGCUGGGAGAGUGUUUGUACAGCGUGCUUGGGCCUGUGCUUGAUUCCUAGUACAAGAAGAGAGUAAAUAUAACCUCUUCUAUCAAGAAACUAAAGCUUUGGAGACUCGAUGUUUGACUUUUUCCAGGAAGCUGUGAUUUUAUGAUGAUGUCCCUUGAGUAAGUCAUGAUUAAAUCUAAUAAAUCCUAUUUAGUUUUAAUUUCUAUAUAAUAUAAUAUAGUCUGUAAAUUCAGCAAGGAAGGUGAAAGACAAGCAAGGUUUCAGUUUUGACCUAAAUUUGAACGUGCAGCUCAGCCAAGACUAUGAGAAUCAAGUGAUUCCUUAGUGAUUUGAACAAGUCAUACUGUCCUGUGGUCGGUAUGGCUGCUUUCUUCCCAUGACCACUUCCUGAUCCCAGAUCUCCCUGCAGGACUUGCAGACAGAUUAUUCUCCUGCAGGCAGCUUCUGACUUGUCCGUGCUGGGUUGGGCUUUCUAGCGAUGGAGCUGCCUUUGAGCUAGCCGUGUUCCCAUGGGAAACCCUGGUGAACGCAUCCAUUCGCUGAGUACAUCCAUUCUUGUGGUAGUGUUACUUUGGUCUGUUGGUAGUGACCCACAGGAGGUGAGCAGGGUUUGCUAGUGUUUCCUAGGAAAUUUGAACACAACCAACUACCGGUCUCUAAUUAGAUUGAGACUUAAGAUGAUACAAUUGGCUACUUGUAGAACAUGACUUAAGAAAACACCCUCGUAUUAGAUUGCUGGUUUACUUAUAGAAAUACCUCUUUAUUCAAAAGUUAACACUCGGAAGCGCAAGGCCCUGGGUUCGGUCCCCAGCUCCGAAAAAAAAGAACAACAACAAAAAGUUAACACUCUAAGCAGCCAGAAUCUCAACUAGGUUUGGCUCCAAGGUGUCCACUGGGAACAGUCAGCAAGCUGUCAUUCUCAGCGAGGCCACCCGGGCGCUAAUGCAGCCUGUGCUGUUUGUGUAAAGCCUUAAAUGGCUCUGAAGCACCCUCACUGGCUAGGCACCCAUCACAAAUGUUUAGCUGGGCGUGAAACACACAGAAUUUCCUUUAGAAAUUUUUGAGCUCUGCACGGCAGCCGUACCACAGCCAGUGAAGUCCACCAAGUGCAGUUAUUGCUAACUGGAAACUUUUCCCAGCAGGGAAGAAAGUCCCAUGUUUUUAAUCUUCUGACUUGAAAAGGUUACAGCUACAGUAUAAUAAACCCAUGGUUCUAUUAAAAACACUGUGGACCUGGAAAGAUCUAGAAAGACGGACACACUUUUCAUAAGCCAUCCCCACCUUUGCUUUUAACUCGGGGUGAAGCUCAUCUCUCAUCUCUUAAAGACCACAACUGCCUCUGUAAAUUGGUGUAAUGGUGUUUGCCUCACCACUUCAGAGGCAGUUUGGGAAUUAUGAAACAAUAUUCUCGAAGCUCUUUGAAAGGUCUUAAUUAUCAUCGAGCAGCACAAUUAUUCUGACACCAGUUUUCCUACUCAGUUUUCUAAAUUUAUGCUUAGAAAAAGCAACCAACACAAACAAAAAAAUUAAAAUAUAAAUCAGCUUAUCUAUCCUAGAUAUGGGCCAAUCACAAACCAGAGACGGGAAAACACCCGUGCAAUGAGAUGCUGUCAAACAAUGGCUCCUGGUAAGCAGCAGAAAACCGCUCACUGCAAAGGGUCUGAAGACAGCAUAGUGUCAUCAUCAGAUUAUCCAAAAAUCAAACACAACCUUCUGUUGUGUUUUGUUUUGAGGCAAAGUUUGAAGCUUACAGUCAUCCUUCUGCCUCAGCUUCCUAGGUGCCAGGCUUACAGGUGCAGGUAGGUGUGAGCCACCAAGCCUGGCAACAGAGCCUCUUUGGGGAGGAUGAUGUGGGGGUUGAGACAGGGUCUUCCUAUGUAGCCCCGGCUGGCCUCAAACUCAGGACGUAAGAACUGCCUGCCUCUGCCUCUUAAGAGCUGAGAUUAAAGGUGUGGACCACCUCAAUCGGCCAGAAGAGCCUCUCCCCAAACCCCAGAGGUUUAAAAAAAAAAAAAAAAAAAAGCAAUGGAAAAAAAGAAUGUUUUUUUCAAUUAUUUUUAUUUUAUGUCUGAGUAUUUUGCCUGUGUGUGUGUCUGUAUAUCACUUGUGUGGCUCGGUGACUAUGAAGACUAGAAUCGGGCUUUGUAUCCCCUGGGGCUGGAAUUAGAGACGAUUCACCAUGUGGGUGCUGGGAACGGAAUCCAGAUCAUCUUGAAGAGCAACCACUGCUCUUGACUGUGUAGCCAUCUCUCCAGCCCCUGAAUAUUUUAAAAUUGAAGCCUUCUACUUCCCCAACUUAUGACAAUGGAAAUACAGUUAUCAAGGGGGAAAAAAGAACCUAUAAGUCAAUGUUUUAUUUACAUAUAAAUUUAUAUCUUUAUUUUUAUUGUAUGGCUGUUUCACCUGCUUAUGUGUCUGCUCACCAUGUGUGCCCGGUCCCCGUGGAGGUCAGAAGAGGGCAUCAGACCCCCUGGAACAGGAGCUUCAGGUAGGUAUAAAGCCACUAUUUGGGCGUUGGGAAUCCAACCUGGUCCUCUGCAGGGGAAGCCUCCUCUUAACCUCUGAGCAGCCACCCAGCCCCAGAAGCCAAAGUUUUACAUUUUGCUCUACUCAGGAGAAAAUAGAAAGACACUAAUUAAUUAAAACCAAAAACAACAUACUUGAGUAACUAGUCAGACUGUGCCACCCGAUGGUUCUGUGACAAGUCUUCAUCUUCACCUGGGAAUACCUGCCAUGGUCCCUCCUCCAGAGGCCACACCCUUUAAAACCCAUGGAGCAAAACUUCUGUUUAAAGCAUUCGUUUACAAAUGUUCUUGCCAAAGAAGUUCAAAGCUGUGCUCCACUUUCCAGGACAUGGGACAACGAGUGUGAGUUAAAGGACUGUCCUUGGUAUGCAUUGCUCUGAUCAAACACUGACCAAAGGCAACCUCAGAAAGAAAAGAUCUUUAGAGGCAGACAGUGAGGCAGAGGCCAUGGAGGAAUGGAUGCUGCUUGCUGGCUGACUCCCUCAGGCUUGCUCAGCUAGCCUUUUCAUACAACCCAGCUCCACCUGCAGGGAUGCACCUCUCACAGCGAGUGAGUCCUCCACACUAAUUAGCAAUCAAGAAAAUGCACCUCAGGCAUACCCACAGGUAAUCUGAUGCAGGCACUUCUUCACUGUAAGUUAAAUUAGGACACCAGUAAGAACCCUGGGUUAGACACAGAGACAGCAGGGGAGAGACAGACACAGAGACAGCAGGGGAGAGACAGACACAGAGACAGCAGGGGAGAGACAGACGCAGAGACAGGCAGAAGCAGAGACUCAGCCUAUGAAGAUUAGAUAAUUGUCAUCGGGACUGGGGAGGUGGCCCAAUGGCCAGGCACACUGGCUGCUCUUCCAGAGGACCCAGGUUUAACCUCCGGCACCCACAGAGGGGUGCACAGCUAUCUGUAACCCAGUCCCAGGGGAGCUGGCAUCCUCUUCUGUUCUCUGGGUGUGCACCAUGGAGAUACACACGCAGGUAAAAUACCCAUACAUACAUCACACAGAAGUAUUUUAAAAGGAGGGGAACACAGUGGAGGAGCACAAGCUGAAGAGGGAAGAGGAGGGAGAGAGAGGGGAGGAGGCGGAGGAAAAAGAGGCAAAGGAUGUCCUUUGUCAUUGAAAAAGCUAAAGAAGGGGUUGGGGAUUUAGCUCAGUGGUAGAGCACUUGCCUAGCAAGCGCAAGGCCCUGGGUUCAGUCCCCAGCUACGGAAAAAAAAAAGAAAAAAAAAAAAAAGAAAAAGCUAAAGAAGAAAUUGGCACAAGCUCCAACCACUGGAUCAAAGCUGGCUCGCACCUGUUCUCUUUAUAAAAGUCUGAGAGGAUACGGUCAGGCACAUUCAUUUUUAUAUCACCUAUGACUGCUUUCAGGCUACAGUGGCAGAGAAUGCGUGGUCCACUGAGCUUAAAUUAUUUAAUCCACAGUUCUUUAUAGGAAACCUGUUAUUCAAAACUCGCACGCACGCACGCACGCACGCACGCACGCAAUCUGCACCUUGCUUUUCCGCGUCACAGAGAAUUGAAAACCUCAGCACGGGAUUGGAGAGAUGGCUCGGUGUUUUAGAACAUGGACUGCUCUUACAGAGGACCUGGAUUCUAUUUCCAGGACCCACGAGGCAACUCACAACUACCGAAGGGGAAUUGGAGCAGCGGCAUGGCACAUCAGAUAAGGCGUGUGUGCUGACAAGCCUGAUAGCCUGAACUCAGUGCUCGAGAUCUACAUGAGAAGGAAAAAACUGACUCCUGCAAGUCAUCCUCCGAUCUCCGAGUGUGCCCCCGAGUGGCACGUACCCCCACCCA
rnacentral:sRNA from 1 species